rnacentral:rRNA from 1 species
AACGAACGCUGGCGGCAUGCCUAACACAUGCAAGUCGAACGCCCUGGUUCGCCAGGGAGUGGCGCACGGGUGAGUAACGCGUGGGAACCUGCCCGGCAGUACGGGACAACCGCGGGAAACUGCGGCUGAUACCGUAUACGGCCUGAGGGCGAAAGAAUUUCGCUGUCGGAGGGGCCCGCGUCGGAUUAGGUAGUUGGUGGGGUAACGGCCUACCAAGCCUGCGAUCCGUAGCUGGUCUGAGAGGAUGAUCAGCCACACUGGGACUGAGACACGGCCCAGACUCCUACGGGAGGCAGCAGUGGGGAAUAUUGGACAAUGGGCGCAAGCCUGAUCCAGCAAUGCCGCGUGAGUGAUGAAGGCCUUAGGGUUGUAAAGCUCUUUCGCCCGCGACGAUGAUGACGGUAGCGGGAGAAGAAGCCCCGGCUAACUCCGUGCCAGCCGCCGCCGUAACAC